CACUACUGCUGAACUGUUCUAUUCCAUUCUGUGCAGAGCUGUAAUGGAGGAAGAAUAAAUGUGUCACCAGUUGGAUUGAAUCCGAACCUUGGAAUCAUUCGUCUUUUCCACAACGCAGAGAUCGUGAUUAGGGUGAAGCAGUGUGGCUAAGCCCGGUUACAUUGGUGCCGUGACCCGGAUUCAUCGUAGAUCAACGUCAGCUUGGUCGCCGGAACUGCAGUUUAUCAACACAAGGUUCUCUUAAAGAAGUUAGCAUUAAAGUUAUUUUACACGCUGUUGAAAGGACACCAAAAACAAGAAGGUUAUAUUUCUGUCAGUUUUAUUCAUUUAUUCGUUGUUGGGUUUUUUUUUUCCGCUUGGUGUGAAACAAGUUUUCUACAGUUACUAUUGGUUAAGAUUGUUAAUUUCUCUGUAAUACAGAGUUACGUUUGUCAAGAUGGCUUCCAAAUUUGGUGAAGAAGAUAACGGUUCUGCUAUAGGUAAUGCCCUGGGUUUAGGCAGAGGAAGGUUUUUGAGAGAGCUUUGCAAUACCCCUGUCCGAAAUUUAGGCGAUGUUGGUUCACCAGCUUUUAGCUCCACACGGAUACCUGGUCAUCCAGCACAUUCGGAAAAAGUCACUGAUCAGGUACCCGUCACUUCAGAUGUUAGUGAUCCAGCUUUAAGCCAUCUCAUCACACACAUUGCCCAGCAAGUGGGGCAAGCUAUAUCAGUUCAGUUAAAGGGAGAUAGUAAGGCAGAUGAGGUCAAAGAUUCAUAUGUUCAGAACUCAGGUUCUGAUCAGACUGCUAUGAAUUUUACACAUAAUCUGGCUGGUAUGAAGUUGGUCUUACAGGCUGAUGUGAGAGAACCCCCUAGUUUUAGAGGAGAUGCAUCAGACAGGGUGUCUGUAUAUGAGUGGGAGGAGCUUAUGGAUACAUACCUGAGAAAGAGAGGCGUACCACAGGCAGAGCAACAACAUGAAAUCGUAUCCAAGCUAAUGGGCAAAGCCAGAGACAUAGUGAAGGUUACACUACGCAGCAACCCUACAUUGAAGCCUCAGGAGAAUCCCAAAGUCAUCAUUGACAUACUGAAACAACAUUUUGGUGAAGCCACAUGUUCCAGCAUGCCUCUCGCAGACUUCUACGGCACUGUGCCUAUGCCAGGAGAGAAUCCAGUUGAAUAUUGGCUCCGCCUCAACAAGGCCAUUGAUGUAGCUGAAGAGGGCCUGCGCAGGCAAGGGCGGCAUAUUGAUGAGCCAAGCCGAGAGGUAACAAUGAUGUUUGUUAAGUAUUGUCCAGAUCCUUCUCUUGCUGCAGUAUUGCGGUUUAAAGCACCAGACAAAUGGACUGCUAUGGAGAUACAGGAACAUGUCGACCGUUAUCAGAUCGAGAUGAAAGAGCGAGUGGUCUCCAAGCCAAACCAUCCAAACUCAGCAAGACGCUUAACAUCACAUGUUCAAGCACCUGCAGCUGAGGAGCCUACUCCAUCUGGUUCUCCUGUUUCAUCCUCUGUUCAGGCUGAGAUGAGCCGAGAUUGGUUGGAUGUUUGUCACUACUGCUGAACUGUUCUAUUCCAUUCUGUGCAGAGCUGUAAUGGAGGAAGAUGAGCCGAGAUUGGUUGGAUGUUUGUCACUACUGCUGAACUGUUCUAUUCCAUUCUGUGCAGAGCUGUAAUGGAGGAAGAAUAAAUGUGUCACCAGUUGGAUUGAAUCCGAACCUUGGAAUCAUUCGUCUUUUCCACAACGCAGAGAUCGUGAUUAGGGUGAAGCAGUGUGGCUAAGCCCGGUUACAUGUGGACGCGCUCGCGCUGCCCCCGCUGCAGGCUCGUCACUGGCGCAGCCGGGCAGCGCAGCGCACACUCCGCUUUUUUUGCGGUCAAUAGAUCAAUUUGAUCUGCUAGUUAAAAAGUUACUUGUGAGGUGAAAAAGAAGGAAGCAGGCAGGAGUUUUCUGGAGGACUGGGAGAUGCAGGAAGAUCAGAGACAGACGGGACAGUAAGAUAGGAAAAUAAAAACCAAGAAAACAAAACAACGUUCUUAAAAAAAUAAAAUGAAGGUAGAUUUAUCCCACUAGACGUCGGUACCUGUAUAAAGCAAUAAUUCAUCAGCAUGUAGUAUUUAUAUAGUUGAUACAAUUCAGAGAUCAUCUUCAAAACUCCGGCCCAUGCCCAGGGACGUAUCUAAGCAUUUUGGGGGCCGAGGCAAAAUAGACCCCUGCCAGGUAUUUUAAGUUGAAGUGCUAUCUGUUUUUAUAUUAGACUUUUUAUAUUUGCAAUAAAGUCCAAAAGUGAAGAAUUUGUUUUUUAUUACUUGAUUGAUCAAGCUACCUCACAGAAGUGAUCUGUUGUUAAAAAUUAAAAUAAAAAGGUAAUUAAAUAAAAAAUUAAGGAACAUUCUGGAACUGUUUCUUCCUUUUCUUUCUUAUUUUUUAAUGUAUCGAAAGUAUCGGCUCGGGACUUGGUAUCGGCAGAUUCUCAAAAUCAAAUGACUCGAACUCAGACUGGAGGGCAAAAAAACCUGAUCGGGACAUCCCUACUUCUAAACAACUUAAUCUAACAGCUGAAACGUCUCCCAACCUUCCUUGAGUAUCUACAGAAGUGAUUAAUCACUAAGAAUAGAAUAGAAUAGAAUAGAAUAGAAUAGAAUAGAAUAGACUUUUAUUGUCAUUGCACGGGGGUACAAUGAAAUUGAGGGCUGGAAAUUAAACAAAUCAGCUGUGUUCAUGAUCUAAAACAUGCAGGAAACACGCUGAAGCCAGACUGCAGCACCAGGUAUGUCACCUCAAUAUUUUUCUUCCCAAAGGACCGGAUCGGCAACUGUGAAGCAGCCAGUGGAAUAUUCUGGCCAGAAGGGGUGAUAGGGUCUGGGUGACAUUUCAUUAACCCUUUAGAUGGUUAUUUUAGCACAUACUGGCUCAAGAAAAUGGUUUAAUAAUAUGAAAACGUUUCAAAGUAUGCCUUUAAAAAAGGUCCACAUUUUCUUAUUUUGAGUAAAAAAAAAAAUCUGACAGCAGAGUACCUAAAAGUUGCUUGGCUAGAAUUCUUAAAACUAGCUAAUAAAUAUGAAAUAAGAUUAUUUUGCUAGUUUUAAGAACUGUAGCCAAGCAACUUUUGCAUUAAAAAACAUUUUAAGAAUAUUUAUUUGCAAAUUUAAAAUAUAUAUAUUUUGUUUAUAGAAUAAAAAUAAGAUAAAAUGUGUAAAACAUGUAUUUAUUUAUUUUUUACUUUCUUAUAGAUCAGGUUUUGGAGAGUACAAUAUAUGAUUAUUUGAGUCAGAGGUGAAUCUGUGUUCCUGCUUUCAUGUAUGUGAAAGUGUGCAGAGAGGCACAGCUGUUUUGAUGCCUGCUCAAAGAUUGCAUCUCAGUUUCAACAGUGUGGCACCAUUGACAUUCAGUCGAAAUGGGUUUGGGUAGCAUGCUGCUUACCCUUGAACGAGACAACAAGGACACAAUGAUCAGACAUAAUCACCAGUGUUUCCAUUAAAAGCCAGUAUCUCAUUGAGACCACGACUGUUGGUGACAAAUUGCAACCAGCACUUGUGAAGGUUUUUCUAAAAUGUCUCAAAACGUUUGUGAGAGUUCCUGCCAGGUUCGGUGUGCUGAACUGGAGUGUAGCGGAGGUAAUGUAGCGUGGCUGUGUGACCCAGAUGCGGAGAGGCUGGCGUUUGGUCCGAACAGAACACGCAGCUUGCUCUAAGGACGGCAGUACGGCGCACAUGAGAUAAUGAGGCUGUACUGCGGUUCCGUUUGGUAGGGUGCUGUCGUGGUGGAGGUUAGACAGCGUGGAAAGAUCACUUUCCUGGAUUGGUUUUGGGUUAGAUUUGGAUCGCUUCGGUUUGGCGUCUGUCAUGAUGACUGAAUGACAGCUCAGCGGUGACAGUUCGUUAUAUAGCUUCCGCGUGGUGAUGUCACCGAGAGCGUCGGUGACGGGAAUGCUGGGAAUUGGAGUGCCCCGUCAGCCCGGCCCGCAGAGGAGGUCAGGAGGAGGAAGAGUUCAUGACAGUUCCCAGUUUUUUCAUGUGAGUUGCAAGAUUUUAUAUCGAGUGAAUUAUGAACAGGAGCAAGGAAAAGGUUCUCACAGAAUAGUUUGUCUUUGGAACUUGUAUGACUUUAAAUGCAGAGAAUCAGUAUUGCGAGAAAAUGAUGACCAAAUUGGGAAGAAAAGAGGGUAACAAUGCAAGCAAUAACUUGGACUUAAUGUCACAAAUUUGCAACAAAACUUUGCAUGAUAAUUUUUUGCAGUCAUUUCUCAAGCUUCACAUAAUUUGACCAUAUAAAAUAAACAAAGUUGCAACGAUACAAACUCAGCAUCAUUCCAAAUUAAAACCUACGUAAUUUCUUACAUCCAUAAAUAGUUGCAGCCCAGGGAUGAUGCUUGUUCUUUGCCUUCCUAUUCAAUGUGUGCUUUCACACACUCGUGUAGCUUGAGCAUGUGCUUGAAUCAUCAUUGUGCUUUCCCAGGAGACGGUCUUCAAAUGAGCACCACCACCAAUUCUGAAGGCCACUAAAGGCAGGUUGGAACAAUGAAUAUUUCAUGUUUUCAUUUAGUUCCAUCCUUCUUCUGGGACCAGUUUCUGAAACAGAAAACAGGUAAUUUUGUUUUCAGUUCUGUUGCCUUGUGACAAGACCUGCAUUUAGGAUUCGGGAUCUGAUGAAGUCAUCGCACCCUUGAGAUGUAGUGGGAAAUUAAAGUAAGUGUUUGAGUCCGGUCAGCAAAGUUAGGGUUUUGCGUUAUUGCAAUUUAUUGAUUUUUCGUUCUCCUCAAAAUAACGUCCAUUCUACAGAAACAUUUCCCUGAUGCAAGUGUACCAGAAUUCAUCCUAUUUUUUCAUGCUUAUUUGGAGUUGUGAGUUUAGAAAAGCUUCUAUUUUGGUUGCAAAUGAAUCAAAACAAUACCAUUACCAAUUUAGAACAAGAGCAGUGUUUGAGUUUUCCACAAUCUUAUGAAGACUCCAGUUUAGGGAAUCUUAAGUACAGACUGUCAGCCUUUCUUCAAGGUGACUGAAAAACCAUUUAAAAAAUGUUUUUUCUGAUUAUAAUUAAUCACGUCUCUGCUCUGAUUGGCUAACAGUAACAUAACUCAACAGUUAGCUCUGCAACGUUGAUGUUUUAUUUCCACAAAUAACACCAGCCUGGAGGUGUUCUGCUGUGUGGUGGAGUUGCUAAUGCUAAUUAGCGUCUACUGAGACAUGCUCCUCCAUUUCCUGGAUGUUAAAACAACAACAGCCUUCCUUGUCUCAAGUCAAGAUAGAUGAGUCCAUGAAGCUAAUACAGGAGAUAGUUGUAGGAGACUAUGUUCCGCCUGCAUGAAAAACUCCAUUAUAAUCAAAAAUAAUCAUUAAGAUAUGGUUUUAAAUUCUAGGACAGUUUAUUUAUUUAUUUAUUUUUUUUUAACCGUGUCCUGUCUGGCUGUGAAGCAAGCAGAAUUGAUGUCUGAAUGCUGGUGACAAGCCUUACAGAUUUAUUCUCAGGUGGAGCAUCAAAGCGUUUGCUUUUAAUGUCACGCCUGAUACUUAAAACUUUA
rnacentral:lncRNA from 1 species